GAGGCAGGAGAGGCUCUGCUGAAUCCUGCCCUGGCACUCUGGCCAGGAGGGGAGGUCUGAACAGGGAAAGGGGUGUGGGAUGGGAGGCAGAGUUAAGUUUGGGAAAUGCUGAACAUGGAAAAUCAGCAGAAUGUGGUGGCCGACUGGAAUGUGUGAAAGGAGAGAAAGGAUCCUAGAGAAAACUUCCAGAUUUCUGGCUUGGAUGCUGUGAUGAGGGGCGGUGCUAUCAGCUCAGCGAGCGGGGAACGCAGGCUGGAGGGCAAACAAAAUGCAUCAGCUUUGGGUGUGUGGAGUGUGAGGGGCACGCAGGACACCACCAUGUGGGGUCAACAGGGGCCUCUGUCCCUGUUAAGGGUCAAAUAUUCUGCAGAGGGGAGGGCGCUCCUGCCUCCAGGAAGUCCUUUCCUGUCUCAUAGCAAGCACCCGGGCCCCACUUCCAGUCCUCCUAGCUGGCCUGGUGACUGUCUCCCAUGAAAGGCUGCAGCCACCGCAGCUGACUUCAUGACUUGUCCUGGGUGAAAUGCAGUGACCAGUUCUCCUGGGGACAAUGAAAACAUACUACAAAGAUGCCCCUAAACAGCUAAAAAAAAAUGCAAUCUGCUAUGUCCAAAAGAGCUAAGAAACAUGAAAAAAAUUGAUACAAGAUGUGUGGUGCAGUGGUGCGUGUCUGUAAUCCUAGCUACUUGGGAGUCUGAGGCAGGAGGAUCGCCUGAGCCCAGUUCAAGACCAGCCUGGGCCACAUAACAAGA
rnacentral:lncRNA from 10 species